GAUGAACGCUGGCGGCGUGCCUAAUACAUGCAAGUCGAGCGAACAGAUAAGGAGCUUGCUCCUUUGACGUUAGCGGCGGACGGGUGAGUAACACGUGGGUAACCUACCUAUAAGACUGGAAUAACUCCGGGAAACCGGGGCUAAUGCCGGAUAACAUUUAGAACCGCAUGGUUCUAAAGUGAAAGAUGGUUUUGCUAUCACUUAUAGAUGGACCCGCGCCGUAUUAGCUAGUUGGUAAGGUAACGGCUUACCAAGGCAACGAUACGUAGCCGACCUGAGAGGGUGGUCGGCCAAACUUGAACUGAGACACGGUCCAGACUCCUAAGGGAGGCAGCAGUAGGGAAUCUUCCGCAAUGGGCGAAAGCCUGACGGAGCAACGCCGCGUGAGUGAUGAAGGUCUUCGGAUCGUAAAACUCUGUUAUUAGGGAAGAACAAAUGUGUAAGUAACUAUGCACGUCUUGACGGUACCUAAUCAGAAAGCCACGGCUAACUACGUG
rnacentral:rRNA from 1 species